rnacentral:rRNA from 1 species
UUUGAUGGCGACCGGCGCACGGGUGAGUAACACGUAUCCAACCUGCCGAUGACUCGGGGAUAGCCUUUCGAAAGAAAGAUUAAUACCCGAUGGCAUAGUUCUUCCGCAUGGUAGAACUAUUAAAGGAUUUCGGUCAUCGAUGGGGAUGCGUUCCAUUAGGUUGUUGGUGAGGUAACGGCCCACCAAGCCUUCGAUGGAUAGGGGUUCUGAGAGGAAGGUCCCCCACAUUGGAACUGAGACACGGUCCAAACUCCUACGGGAGGCAGCAUG